CGCCGGGCCGGAGGCAUCGUAGCUGUCCCCAAGCGGGCACGCCGACGCAUCGUCUUAAUUUUCGACAGUCGCAACCCGGCUUCAGUGUCGCAUUCUUUCACCUGCAGCACCCUUAAUGUAUCUCAGGUCUUCGGUCAAAUAAGGUGCUUAGCAACUCAGCUUUGCACGUCGCCACGUCGAUAUCGCCACUAGAAACUAAAAGCAACGAGCCAUCAACACGUCGCCUCGCCGGCAUCAGCGCUGACAGCAAAGACAACGAGCCAUCAGCCAUACACUUCAUGGUUCUUUUUCCAGCAGAUAACACAGCCCAAAGCAUCUUAUUCUAGAUAGGGACUGCUACGUACACUAAGCAAGCGAACAAAUUACCUUCCUGGGAUCUUUAAAUAAGCAAAGAGGAAGGCAAGCCAUGGAUGCGAAUGAACAAAGAAGAAAAAGAGAUAGAGAGCGGUAUGCACGGAUGAGCAAUGAAGAAAGGGAAGAAAAACUGAAAAAACGCCGUGAAGCCUAUCAACAAAACAAAACAAACAAAGAUUCAAGAAAGGAGCGAGAUCAAAAGGCAAAACAAAUGCAGGAAUAUGCAAAUACACAGCCAGAACAAAAAGAAGUUGGAACAGAGAAAAUUGCAGCUAACUGUGAACUGGAGCGUGGUAUACCAUCCAAAGAUACAAUUGAGCCAGAACAAAAGCAAGUUGGAAUAGAACAAAUUGCAGGUAACUGUGAACUGGAGCACAGUACACCAAACAAAGAUUCAAUUGCCAUGGAGAAGCCUGCAUAUAUCACGACUGAACAGGAAGUUAGUGUAAAUCAAAGAAAACAUGCCAUGUCAGGAGAAAAACAGAAAAGAGAUAGAGAGCGCUAUGCAGCGAUGACCAGUGAAGAAAGGGAAGAAAAACUGAGUAAACGUCGAGAAGCCUAUCAAAAAAACAAAAAAAUAAAGAUUCAAGGAAGAAGACAGAUCAAAAGGCAAAAAAAGGCAGGAAUAUGCAAAUAUGCAACCGGAACAAAAGAAAGCUAGGAUAGAAAAAAUUAAAGCUAAUCGUGAAUUGAAGCGCAACAUGCCAAGUAAAGAUUCAAUUGCGAUGGAGAACCCUGCAUAUAUUGCAACCGAGCAGGAAGUUAGUACAUCUCCCUGUACUGUAAAACAUGGAAAGCAUGUGACAGCGGGUGAAAGACAAACGCUGCUACACCGUCAUAACGAAGAAUUCGCAGCAAGACAGAUGAAAUCAUCACAAGAAGAUAGAUCCAUGUCGGAAAAUGACAACGAUGACAACGAACCUCCCGAACAACCAGAAGUCACGAUUAAUGACAUCCCCCUCUCUAUAAUGUUUCCAUCCAUUAAAGAAGCGGAUGCCCAAACACAAACAGCCUACAACGACGAUCACAGUAAGGUGGCUUUUUGGCCAGGCAUCCCCACUUCAAUGUGUCCAACAAUCAAAGAAGUAAAUGCACGAAUACAAUCAUUCUACAAUAAUGGUCACGGUGUGACUAUGAAGGCAUAUGUGAGCAAGACAAAACCAUCAAAGAAGUAGAUGCACCAAAACAAUCAAUCUACAACGAUGAUCACGAUAAUGAUAGUCAUAUUUGAAGAAGACACAAACGAGGAUGAAUACAUGUUCUUUGGUGAAGAAUGGGAUGGAAAAGUGGAAAUUGAAACCAGAGAAGACGAGGAAUUUCACAACCCUGAUCCGUAUGAUAUCGUCUACAGCAACAUACCAAAGAACACACACAUGUUCAGAACGGAAAAAAAUUGCAAGUUCUGUAAUGCAACGAAAUUGAAGUAUGAAUCUAAGGGGUUAUGCUGCAGAAAAGGGAAGAUAAGACUAGCCAAUCCAGAUACAGCACCUGAACUUAUGAGACUUUGGACAAGCAACGACUCUGAUGCAAGACAUUUUCGGAACAAUAUAAGAUUUUUCAAUGGACACUUCUCAUUCACUACUCUAUACUGCUAGCUUGACAGAGAGACAACCAACAUUCGAACAACUGGUAUUUACACCUUCCGAGCUCAUGGUCAGAUCUAUCACAACAUACACUCAUUUGGUAAUAGUCGCUCCGAUCCAAAGCAUCUGGAGUUGUACUUCUACAAUGAUGAUCCAAGCUUAGAGCAUCGGUACCGCCGCUGCCGCGAGGAAAUGUAUGAGCAAGACAGGCAGGUGAUUGGAAUCAUAACUGACAUUCUACGCGAUAACCCAUACUCUCAACAGUUCAGGAGUUUGGGACAAGCCCAAAACCUCGAGGACUACAGACUUAUCUUGAACGUUGACCAAAGAUUGGACCAGAGAACAUACAACGCACCAAUCAAUUCGAAGGUAGCUGCAGUGUGGAUUGAAGGAAAUCAAAGAAGAGAUACUUAUGAUAGGAAUGUAAUACUUCAUGGGAACAACAACGAAAUAGAGCACAUUAGAUCAUAUUACGGGUGCUACGACCCGUUAUCAUAUCCUCUAUUCUUUCCAAGAGCUGAACUCGGUUGGCAUAGGAAAAUCCCAAAGAAGGAUACACAAGAGGAAGAUGUUGAUGAUGAAAAUAUCAGUAAUGACGAUGACCCAGGUAAUUGUAUUCAAAAUUAAAUUUUCAGGGCGAAGCUAGAAGAAAUGAAGCAGCAACUAUUUGAGAAGGCCAUUCUUGGAAAGGUUAAGGCAUAUACAUAUGUCCUAGAGUUCCAAAAGAGGGGAUUACCCCAUGCUCACCUUUUGCUCAUCAUGACCGGAAAAUACAAAUACACGUGUCCGGAACAGUAUGACAGAAUCAUCUCCGCUGAGCUCCCUAACAAGCACAAGUACCCAGAACUAUACAAAAUGGUAGUCAAACAUAUGAUGCAUGGUCCUUGCGGUGCAUUGAAUAAAUUUUGUCCAUGCACAAAGAAUCGUCAGUCAUGCAAGAACAAUUAACCAAGGCCAUUUAACGAAACUAUGAUUCAAGGCAAGGACUCCUACCCACUAUAUAGGAGACGCAAUGACGGUCGUACUGAAAUGGUCCGAGGUUGCAAACUAGAUAAUAGGUGGGUGGUUCCUUACAACCCCUACCUGCUAAGGAUGUUCAACUGCCACAUAAAUGUUGAGAUAUGCUCAAGCAUUAAAGCCGUUAAGUACCUCUUCAAGUA